rnacentral:rRNA from 1 species
CCUACGGGAGGCAGCAGUGAGGAAUAUUGGUCAAUGGGCGGGAGCCUGAACCAGCCAAGUCGCGUGAGGGAAGACGGUCCUAUGGAUUGUAAACCUCUUUAGGCGGGGAGCAAUGCCGGGCACGCGUGCCCGGAUGGAGAGUACCCGCAGAAUAAGCAUCGGCUAACUCCGUGCCAGCAGCCGCGGUAAUACGGAGGAUGCGAGCGUUAUCCGGAUUUUUUGGGUUUAAAGGGUGCGUAGGCGGAUUUUUAAGUCAGCGGUAAAAUGUCGGGGCUCAACCCGGGCCGGCCGUUGAAACUGGGGAUCUUGAGUGGGAGAGAAGUAUGCGGAAUGCGUGGUGUAGCGGUGAAAUGCAUAGAUAUCACGCAGAACUCCGAUUGCGAAGGCAGCAUACCGGCGCCCGACUGACGCUGAGGCACGAAAGCGUGGGGAUCGAACAGGAUUAGAUACCCCUGUAGUC